rnacentral:rRNA from 1 species
UACGGAGGGAGCUAGCGUUGUUCGGAAUUACUGGGCGUAAAGCGCACGUAGGCGGCUUUGUAAGUUAGAGGUGAAAGCCUGGGGCUCAACUCCGGAACUGCCUUUAAGACUGCAUCGCUUGAAUCCAGGAGAGGUGAGUGGAAUUCCGAGUGUAGAGGUGAAAUUCGUAGAUAUUCGGAAGAACACCAGUGGCGAAGGCGGCUCACUGGACUGGUAUUGACGCUGAGGUGCGAAAGCGUGGGGAGCAAACA